rnacentral:lncRNA from 1 species
CCUUGGGGUGCACAUGGGUCCAGGAGAGGGGGCCCCUGGACACAGAGUCAGGGGGUACCCCACAGGACAGCCAGAGUGUGGAGCCAGGGGCCAUGGUUAUAGAGCAGAGGACUCCAAAAGCUGGGAGUGGAGGAGCCGGCAGAGUCCUUCCAACCCUUUCCUGAAUUUUACAAAUAAGAAAAUGGAGGCUCAGAGAGGGAGGCCGAGGCGAGAGGAUCCUUUGAGGACAGGAAUUUGAGACCAGCCUGUGCAACACAGCGAGAACCCAUCUCUAUAGAAAUUUUUUAAAAAACAAAAAAUGUCAGUUGCUUUUCAUCUAGCUAAAAUAAAAACUCCAACCCAAGGCCUAGUAGGCCGAGUGUUGCUGACCUACCUACAUUUUCCACCUCGUGCCUCCAC